GGGGGAUAUUGCACAAUGGAGGAAACUCUGAUGCAGCAACGCCGCGUGAGGGAAGAAGGUCUUCGGAUUGUAAACCUAAGUAGUCAGGGACGAAUAAUGACGGUACCUGAAGAGUAAGCUCCGGCUAACUACGUGCCAGCAGCCGCGGUAAUACGUAGGGAGCGAGCGUUGUCCGGAUUUACUGGGUGUAAAGGGUGCGUAGGCGGGACUGCAAGUCAGGCGUGAAAUACCGGGGCUCAACCUCGGGGCUGCGUUUGAAACUGUAGUUCUUGAGUGAAGUAGAGGCAGGCGGAAUUCCUAGUGUAGCGGUGAAAUGCGUAGAUAUUAGGAGGAACACCAGUGGCGAAGGCGGCCUGCUGGGCUUUAACUGACGCUGAUGCACGAAAGCAUGGGGAGCAAAC
rnacentral:rRNA from 1 species